rnacentral:rRNA from 1 species
CCUACGGGAGGCAGCAGUGGGGAAUAUUGCACAAUGGAGGGAAGCCUGAUGCAGCGACGCCGCGUGAGUGAAGAAGUAAUUCGUUAUGUUAAGCCCUAUCAGCAGGGAAGAAAGUUACGCCACCUGAAAAGGAAGCUCCGGCUAAAUACGUGCCAGCAGCCGCGGUAAUACGUCAGGAGCCAGCGUUAUCCGGAUUUACUGGGGGUAAAGGGAGAGUAGGUGGAAGAGCAAGUCCGAAGUGAAAACCCAAAGAUCAACAAUCGGAAUGCUUUAGAAACUGCUCAGCUUGAGUGCAGGAGAGGCAAGUGGAAUGCUUGGUGUAGCGGUGAAAUGCGUAGAUAUUAGGAAGAACACCAAUGGCGAAGGCAGCAUGCUGGACUGUAACUGACACUGAGGCUCGAAAGCGUGGGGAGCAAACAGGAUUAGAUACCCGAGUAGUC